rnacentral:rRNA from 1 species
UAGGGAAUCUUCGGCAAUGGACGAAAGCCUGACCGAGCAACGCCGCGUGAGUGAAGAAGGUUUUCGGAUCGUAAAACUCUGUUGUUAGAGAAGAACAAGGACGUUAGUAACUGAACGUCCCCUGACGGUAUCUAACCAGAAAGCCACGGCUAACUACGUGCCAGCAGCCGCGGUAAUACGUAGGUGGCAAGCGUUGUCCGGAUUUAUUGGGCGUAAAGCGAGCGCAGGCGGUUUCUUAAGUCUGAUGUGAAAGCCCCCGGCUCAACCGGGGAGGGUCAUUGGAAACUGGGAGACUUGAGUGCAGCAGAGGAGAGUGGAAUUCCAUGUGUAGCGGUGAAAUGCGUAGAGAUAUGGAGGAACACCAGUGGCGAAGGCGGCUCUCUGGUCUGUAACUGACGCUGAGGCUCGAAAGCGUGGGGAGCAAACAGG